GACGAACGCUGGCGGCGUGCUUAACACAUGCAAGUCGAACGGAAAGGCCCUGCUUUUGUGGGGUGCUCGAGUGGCGAACGGGUGAGUAACACGUGAGUAACCUGCCCUUGACUUUGGGAUAACUUCAGGUAACUGGGGCUAAUACCGGAUAGGAGCUCCUGCUGCAUGGUGGGGGUUGGAAAGUUUCGGCGGUUGGGGAUGGACUCGCGGCUUAUCAGCUUGUUGGUGGGGUAGUGGCUUACCAAGGCAUUGACGGGUAGCCGGCCUGAGAGGGGGACCGGCCACAUUGGGACUGAGAGACGGCCCAGAGUCCUACGGGAGGCAGCAGUGGGGAAUAUUGCACAAUGGGCGGAAGCCUGAUGCAGCAACGCCGCGUUCGGGAUGACGGCCUUCGGGUUGUAAACCGCUUUCGCCUGUGACGAAGCGUGAGUGACGGUAAUGGGUAAAGAAGCACCGGCUAACUACGUG
rnacentral:rRNA from 1 species